AAAUGCGCGUUGUUCAAGAUCGGAAAUGGCAACCAAAAAGAUUCCCCAAGAGGCGAGAGAACUGCACAAUGAGCUUAUUGCCGACCUUCAUGACAACAUCAACUCAAAGGUUGACGAACACGACUUCGAGAAGCUUAUACAUCGCCUAAAACUGAAAUUAUCCCCGAUUGACCUCAAAGCGUGCCACAACCUGAUAGACGCCACGGACAAAUUACAGAAAAGGGGUCAUUUAGAGCCGGGAAAUUACGGGGAGUUGAUCAAACUGGUUGACUGUAUUGAUAAAAACUGGGUCAAUUUGAUCAGAGAAAAAGGAGAAACCAUUAUUGAAAUUAUUAAUAAAGCGAAUGAACCUCAACCCUCUGUAUCCUCCGAAGAAAGCGAAAGAGCAAAAAAACGACGGUUAGAAAGCGACCAAGAUGGACAACGUUCCAAUGAAAACACCGACGGUCAAACUCAAAUACUCAAAUCGUCGACAAAAAAAGAGAGAAAGAAAUCAGUUUAUCCAAAAACAAACGACCAAAAAGGACUUGCUCUCAUCUUGAAUUUCACAAAAGGAAGGCCUGGCGCAAAUGCUGAUUUUUGUGGCAUCAAUGAUUUUUUUGAGAAGACAUUGAACUUUGAAUGCCAUGUUGAGACCGACCCACCCAAAGAAGAGGUGGAGUGUUUCCUGGAAGAAACAGCUUGUCUUUUCAACAACAAAAGGACAGCUGCAAAAUACUACUGUCUUUUAGUAUUCAUUAUGAGUCACGGAAACGAGGAUGGCAUUCGUACGAACGACGGCAAAACUAUUUCACUCGAUGACAUCGUGUCCUAUUUCAAAAAUGAUAAACUGAAGUAUUUUGCAGGCCUGCCGUGGGUCGUCUCCUCAGGGCGUGGUCGAUUUGCCGGAUGAUAAGGAAGAAGUAAUGAUCGACCAAGUGGUAGGGAAAAUAUCCAUUCCCACAGAUGCAGAUCUCUUACUGGCUUACGCAACCACACCAGGGUACUUCGCAUACAGAAGACCUAAUGUUGGAUCUUGGUUUUUCUGCAACCUUUUGGAGAUUUUUAAAGAACAUUAUGAAGAAGAACAUGUUGAGGAUAUGCUGAUAGAUGUGAAAGAGAGGCUGGCUUAUGAUGAAGAGUGGCAGACAAAUGAAGGAUUUAAACAAAUGCCAUGUACAUGGUCCACUCUCACCAAAAGAUUCUUUUUAGCUCCCCAACAACUAGCAGAAUAAAAGAGUGAUCAUUUACAGUAAACAAAAAUUCUACUUAUACUGUGCAUUUCAUAACUCACGCGAAUGUUUUAUUUUCGAAGAUGUUUUCAAAAGUGUUGAUGUAUAAAUGUGUUAGAAUAAAACUAAUAG
rnacentral:misc_RNA from 1 species